UCCCCAAAUUUGGGGGCGUCUCGGGGUCAGUGAUGCACCAGGAGUGACCCCUGGGUUUUGGGGUCAGCAGAGGGCACCAGGGACCCCCGGGAUUUUGGGGUCACCCCAGUUUUGGGGGGGUCUCGAGGGUCCCUCCUUCCCCUCGGGGCUCCCCCUGAUCCUUUGGGUGUUGGAAUUUUGGGAUUUCCCCUCUCAGAACCCCCAAAAACCCCUCAAAUCCCACAGAUUUCGCCUUUUUUUGUGCUCCUGGGGGGAUUUUGGGGGUCUCAAGUUGGAUUUUGGGGUUCCCAGGUGGGUUUUGGGCGUCCCAGGUGGAUUUUUGGGGUGUCCCAGGUGAGAUUUCGAGGUUCCCAGGUGGAUUUUAGGGUUCCCAAGUAGAUUUUGGAGUUCCCAGGUGGAUUUUGGUUGUCCUGAGUUGUUUUUUGGGGUUCCCAAGUGGGAUUUUGCUUGUCCUGAGUUGUUUUUUGGGGUUUCCAGGUAGGAUUUUGGUUGUCCUGAGUUGUUUUUUGGGGUUCCCAGGUGGAUUUUGGGGCUCUAAGGUGGGAUUUUGGGGUUUCCAAGAGGAUUUUUUGUGUCCCACGUUGGUUUUUGGUGUCCCUGGUGGGAUUUUGGAGUUCUCAGGUGGAUUUUGGGUCUCCCAAGUUGGUUUUUGAGGUUCCCAGGUGGAUUUUGGGUGUCCUGAGUUGGUUUUUGCGGUCCCAGGUGGGGUUUUGGGAGUCCCAAGCUGGUUUUUCGUGUCCCACCUGGAUUUUUGGGGUUCCUGAGUUGUUUUUUGAGCUUCCCAGGUGGGAUUUUGGGGUUCCCAGGUAGAUUUUAGGGUUCCCAGGUGGAUUUUGGAGUUCCCAGGUGGAUUUUGGGGUGUCCCAAGUUGUUUUUCGAGCUUCCCAGGUGGGAUUUUGGGGUUCCCAGGUGGAUUUUGGGUGUCCCAAGUUGGUUUUUGAGCUUCCCAG